rnacentral:misc_RNA from 1 species
UCCGGUUUGUCACCGGCAGUCUCGCAUGAGUCCCCGGCCGAACCGCUGGCAACAUAGGACGAGGGUUGCGCUCGUUGCGGGACUUAACCCAACAUCUCACGACACGAGCUGACGACAGCCAUGCACCACCUGUGCAUGGACUCCGAAGAGGGCGCCUGGUUUCUCAGGCGUUUCCCAUGCAUGUCAAGCCUAGGUAAGGUUCUUCGCGUUGCGUCGAAUUAAACCACAUGCUCCACCGCUUGUGCGGGCCCCCGUCAAUUCCUUUGAGUUUCAACCUUGCGGUCGUACUCCCCAGGCGGGGUACUUCCUGCGUUAGCGCCGGCACCCAGAGGGUCGCUCCCCCAGGCACCUAGUACCCAUCGUUUACGGCGUGGACUAC